ensembl:processed_transcript RIKEN cDNA E130307A14 gene
GACCGCCAUGUCACAUCUUACGGAAGAGGCGGGGGCUGCCGCGGAGAGGAUAUUUUUUUGUUUUGUUUUGUUUUCACAAGUGUGGAAUGCAUCAGUUAAAAUCUCAAGAAACCCCGAGGCAGAGGAUUAAGAGAUGCUGAAGAGAAGAUGAGCCUGUAUGCAUUUAUCUGUGCUUAGCCUGCUCCGAAUGGGAACACAGCUCUCAAAUGAAGAAAGUGACUGUGACCCUCCAACCUAGACUGUCUACUAGCUUUGACAAUGACCCCUGUCCUGCUAUUGGCUAGCUCCAUGUUUUGUUCACGUGACUCUCACCCUGGUGUGGCCUGGACUCCAGUCCCUGGCUCAAGGAAAGUCCAGACUGACAUAGAAAAUCCCUGCUCAC